UUUGCCGUGGUUUUUAUUAGGGCCUUCUGCAUGGGUUUUAUAACUUGUAUUUGGUCUUAAUCAGCUAUGAGCGUACGGGUUCUAAUUUUAUCUGUGGGUUACUGUUUUUUUGUCGCUUGAUGUAGUAAACUUUUUAUUCCGUAUCUUGGUACCAUGUUUUCCUCUUUUGGGAAAGCAUUAAAUGUAGAAUCCUUGGCUACUGGUAGGCAGUAGAGUGCAGUUUUCAUGUACUCAUAGUUUCAAGUUGGUUUUUGAAAUGCUGAAUGCCCACUACUUCCUAUGUUUUUUUCUUUUUUCCACACAAGUUUCCCUGGGGACCCAUGGCAGAUAUUUAUAUGAUCAGGACCAUUCAUUGUGCAGUUCAUGCCAUAAGUUGUCAUGACCAAAGAUCAGCCCAAUUGGACUGUCCUUACUGCUUGUUUUGAGGUAAAAAUGGCCAGUCCUUGGGCCAUGUUUUGAACGAGCAGUUUUGUCUGAUAAGCCUGAUUUUUUGAGCCAUGGCUCAUAUGGUUGAGCCCACUGUAUGAAUGGGUUGGAUCCUGUACACAUCUGCUCUAUGUCCCCAUGACAACUUGUGCAAAAGCUUGUAGAGUUAGCAUUUCUACCUACCCUGCCCAUAGUCAGAGCCCAUUCUGGUAAGUGAAAAAAUCCUUCAAACUUAGUUUGUGGAAAGAAACCAGUAGAAUAACAAAUUGCAUGUUGAAUGCUUGCAGGCUUACCAAUUCUAGAACUCCAAAAAAAAAAAGAAAAAGAAAAAGAAAAAAGAGAACAAAUGGGCGCUACACUAUCUCAUGUCCCUUCUUGGAUCAAGUGGCCAAAUUUUAAUUGGAAUCCUUGGGCGUGCUUCCAUUCAGCAAAGAAACAGUCUCUUGUUCCAAUGCUAAAGGUGGUGGUAGCUAGCACCUGAUUGAAUUCAACCCUGAGGCUAUAAGCAUGAACCCCAAUAAUAACUUGAACCUCAAUAAUAAUGCAAUUUGGAGGUGGAAGCAUGAAGCUCGGCAUUUCCUAAUAGCCUAGCCUUGUUGCUCGGAGUUCUUCCAUGGGAACUUACAUCGCCAAGUUUGGAAGCUUUUGGGGAAUUGAGGAUCCUUAAAUGUGUCGGCAAAGAAAGCUUUCAUGGAUUUGGGGUUACCCGUGGAAGCAAGUUUUCUAAUUUCUUAUUUUCUUUAUCUUUUAGGAAUGGUAAAUCCGUCGAAUGUAAAUGAUAACAAUGAUCCUUUUUUUUUUUUUUUGCUUUAUUGUGCAUGUUAGAAUCUCUGAAAUUAUGUUUUGAAUGUAGUUUUGUGACUAUUGCAAACAGCGUGCAUUGAAUUUUUGUCAAUGGGGUAAUUGAGCUAAACCUUGUCACUAUUCAUGUCUUGUUCUUGUUUCUGAUUGUUUCUGGAGCUUGCAGUUUAUUCCUAAAGCUUUCGUAAGCUCACGUGCUACUAUUCACAUGGUGUUUGGAACACUCAAUCCACCCAUGUAAUGGGUGGAUCCAGUCACCCUGCCCAUACAUCGGGCCUGUCAACUCUCAGGUAGGUCAUACCUGUAUGAGAAUGAUGGAUGCUUGAUAAAGAACAAGAAAAGGUAAUAGGAUUUCAGCUGUCAAUAUUUAGUGUACAGGUGGCCCGCUAAAUGAGUGGACUGGCCUACUUUUUGGGAGAACUAAUCUAAUGGGUAGGAUGCUAACUUUUGUGGAACCCAAUAAAUGGAUUUGAUUCCUCAACAAGCUUUGUGAAAUGCAUGCAUAUAGAAACCACAAUCAUGAUCUCAGACCUCAUCCUGGCUCAUGGAUUGCAACUCAUUUUUGGUGGCAUCAAUUCACUUAGAAUAAUUUGGGCAUUCCAUAGCUUAUGAAAAUGUGACCGGAUAAUGGUUAUCAAUGCCCAUAUCAUUUUCCUAUAUAUGCACCACAUAAUCAUAUGUAAUAACAAAUCUCCUUUAUGAGGUUUUCUGGUUAUUUUCUGUGCUGGUGUAUCCCCAUUGGACACAUUAGUAUCAUGUGAGUGUGCAUUGUCUAGAUCUUGGUGUUCUACUUAAUUGUAAUGAUCAAUCAGUCGGGGGACGCCCUGAUUAUCCGAAUUUAUGAUGAAGGGCAGUAAGGCUCGUAUUUCUUCCAAAAACCACUUUGCAUGGUUCCGUGAUCCCACUAAUCUGCAUAUCUCCAAGGAGUUUGACAUUGCCGAUAGCACCCUUUGGGUCUUUGUGGAUAUCCAGUGAAAUAUCCACUAUCAGUUUUUUAAUCCAAUUUCCCUUCAUGUAGGUCAUAGAUUUUUGCUUUGGCUGAGCAUCCCUAUAUGCGUAGAUGCCUUGGGCUGGGUUCUUACCUCUCCAUGACUUGAAAGGAGUUUUAAGGGUGCCUUUAUUGGGAACCCUGUUUAGGAACUAUGAAGAGAGCUUCACCCUACAUAGAUUCGGGUAAGGUGAAGCUAAUAAUACUACUACUAGCAGUAGGCGACAAAGUCGCUUCGUUACAUAUCCAUUAGGAACUACAAUUUUUUUGGUACAUUACAGUCAUGCAUUUACAAUCCAUGUAGUACCUUUAUACAUGCUAUCAAAGAGUGUUACUCUUGUCGUGCCAGGUUUCAAUUCACAAUUCACAUGCAGGGCAAGAAAGGUUUGAGCAAAUUGGGCGUUAAGACUUAGUUUAUACAAACUAUCAUGCAAAUCACUGAAACCAACCCACGGCUAAUGCUUAAAAACAUUGAAUCUAGUCAUCUACCAUUACUAAAUCAAAAAGUAUAACUCUGUGCAUUAAGUUUAGAAAUAGAAUUUAAGUUGUGUGAAAUACGUGGAAUCUAAAAUAUAUUUUUAAAUCUAAAUAAUACCAAGUGCUUAAAAAUAGCGAGUCACUAUUGCUUCUGUUUAGCUUUUCCAAUUCUCAUUUGUUUGGGCUCCGGUUUGAAAAGAAUCCUCGCGGGCCUAUUUGUUUUUCCAAUUAUAGCAGCAAUUGGCUGCAAAUGGGUAAUGAUUGCUUACUCCUGUAAUUCCGUAUUGAUGUUAGUGUGAUUUGAUCGUAAUGAUGAUUGAGCUUAGGGUUUUUGUUUUCUCCAUGAAUCACUAUAAAUAAGGUAGUUUUACAACAGAAAAUUGUAAUGAUUACAAUUUCUUUCCUUUGACUGCAUUUGAAUAUUGAUUCUUGUGCGGAAUUCUUGUGUUAUCAAACACCUUCCAAAGAUAAUGAUGGCUAAUUUACUUGUAAUUAGACAGGAAAUUGGAAGGCCCUGAAUGGAUUUGGAAACAUGGACAAUAGCACCAUAGUCUAUCCACCAAAUGUUAGAAGGUAUGCUAGCAAGAUUGGUUUUCAAACAUAUGAAAGUUAAGGAUUUACCUUUCUUUUUGAACCAUUCGCUUUGCAUUCGGGCAAACCUUAUAUGCCCCUUCUUUUUAUAGAAGUAACACCUUAGACCGCCUCUUCCCCUAUUUUCCUUCUUCGCUUGUAGGCUAUUGGGAGAGGAUGAUGCUUUAUUUGAUGAUUAUCCUUUUCCUUCACUAUACUUCUUGUUCUUGUUUUCAUACUCUCUAUUCACCAUGUUUACAAACAACCGUCCUUCCUUUUCUAUUAUUAUUAUUAUUUCAGUCUGGCUUCCUCUUGA